UGCUUAAAGCAGGCAUAUGCCUUGAAUACUCCAGCAUGGAAUAAUAUUAAAGAUUUUUAUCUUUCUUAUUGGUUCUAAGAUAAAAAUAAUGAUUAAUAGGGACAGUUGGGGGCAUUUGUAUUUAACAGUCAGAGGUGAAAUUCUUAGAUAUGUUAAAGACAAACUAAUGCGAAAGCAUUUGCCAAGGAUGUUUUCAUUAAUCAAGAACGAAAGUUAGGGGAUCGAAGACGAUCAGAUACCGUCGUAGUCUUAACCAUAAACUAUGCCAACUAGAGAUUGGAGGUU
rnacentral:rRNA from 1 species